rnacentral:rRNA from 1 species
CAGUCGCCACGGGAAUACGUAGGUGGCAAGCGUUGUCCGGAAUUAUUGGGCGUAAAGGGCUCGCAGGCGGUUUCUUAAGUCUGAUGUGAAGGCCCCCGGCUCAACCGGGGAGGGUCAUUGGAAACUGGGAAACUUGAGUGCAGAAGAGGAGAGUGGAAUUCCACGUGUAGCGGUGAAAUGCGUAGAGAUGUGGAGGAACACCAGUGGCGAAGGCGACUCUCUGGUCUGUAUCUGACGCUGAGGAGCGAAAGCGUGGGGAGCGAACAGGAUUAGAUACCCCGGUAGUCCCUGUCUCUUAUAC